UAUGUUCCUAUGUACUAAAAGUAUGCCUAUUAUAAAGUAUCACCUACCAAAUAAGGUCCCAACACACAACUAUAUAUUUCAAAAGAAAAAUCACGAAAACACAAAGAGAAGGAAAACGAUCGCAAUAUGGAAAUUCAAAAGAGCUAUUGACUGGCUCUUCAGCCAGCAUCCUGAAGGGAUAAUUUUCUUGUGGUUGUCUCAGGCUGUAUGAGAAUGUGAGACAGUGUUGACUCUAUGUAAUAUUGCGGCAUUGUCGAGCCUCAGAACAAGACUCCUUGCGGCGAUAAGAGCCUUUUAUGAAGACUCCAAUUUGCUCCGGCGUACAUGGCAAAAUAAGAAGAAAAUAAGAAUUAGAAAGGUAAUAUAACUGUAAAAUAAGACAAAUAUAGACUUGUGUAUGAGUAUUCAAUUUCAACAUCACACGUUAAUAGUAAGUUAAAUGUAAGCUAAAUCAAAUCUUAAAAGCAUUUAAAGAUCUAACUGACACAUGCAUUCUUAUAUAACUAUAUGUUGCUGGAAGAAAGGAAAUAAAAUUUCUUUCAACUAAUUAUUUUUAGCAUGCUGGGUUGGUAAAAGAACAUCUCUAAUUCUUAAACUAAAAGAGCAAUGCAUGUUUUCAUUAAGUUGGUGACGAUAACCUAAGCACAUUAGACAGUGAACGAAUGGCUUUACAAUAUUUAUCUUUUGACUAGUAUGAUAGUUAAAAGAAAAUUCUCAACAUGUUACUUUACAUGACAGAAUGAAAGGGAUCUAUAACACAUUAACAGUAUGAAGAUCCAACAGAAUACAUUAGAGACAAAUGGUUCUCUGAGACAUAGUAGUACCUAGAUUUGAGAGUAAACUUAAAGAUAUAUUUUCCCUUUAGUAUGCAAAAAACAGUAACAGGCUAAGGAUGAACACUGACGAAAUACACAACAUAAGGAUUUUGAACCAAAUUUGAUUUGAAUCUCUUAAGAUCGGCUUGCCAUUUUAGGAAAUCUAUUAGGUAAUACCAAAAUCGGAUAGCCAGUAAGGAGGAGGGGCCAAAUAAGGUAAGGAAUCAACAAUUGAUUCCAUUAUGGGAUUGGAAUCGGAGAGAUUAGGGUGAUGACGACGCUAGGGUUUUGAGAGGAGAGGAGGAGAAGAUGAGAGAGGGAGUGAAUAGAGAUGGCGAGCUAGGUGAAAAUGAUUUAGGGUUUUGGCCGGGUAGGUUAGUUUAAAGGGGUUGGAGUGAUG
rnacentral:lncRNA from 1 species